rnacentral:rRNA from 1 species
UACGUAGGGACCAAGCGUUGUUCGGAUUUACUGGGCGUAAAGGGCGCGUAGGCGGCAAUUCAAGUCAUCUGUGAAAUCUCCGGGCUUAACCCGGAACGGUCAGAUGAUACUGCUUUGCUAGAGUGCAGAAGGGGCAAUCGGAAUUCUCGGUGUAGCGGUGAAAUGCGUAGAUAUCCAGGGGAACGCCGGAGGAGAAAUCGGGUCGCUGGGCCUUUCCUGACGCUGAGGUGCGAAAGCCAGGGGAGCGAACGGG